ACGGAAGGCAGCAGUGAGGAAUAUUGGUCAAUGGGCGUGAGCCUGAACCAGCCAAGUAGCGUGAGGGAUGACUGCCCUAUGGGUUGUAAACCUCUUUUGUUUGGGAAUAAAGUCAGGGACGCGUCCCUGUUUGUAUGUACCUUUCGAAUAAGCAUCGGCUAAUUCCGUGCCAGCAGCCGCGGUAAUACGGAAGAUGCGAGCGUUAUCCGGAUUUAUUGGGUUUAAAGGGAGCGUAGGCGGACUGUUAGGUCUGUGGUCAAAUGUCAGGGCCCAACCUUGGCAUGCCAUGGAUACUGGAGGGCUUGAAUACACACAAGGAAGGUGGAAUUCGUCGUGUAGCGGUGAAAUGCUUAGAUAUGACGAAGAACUCCAAUUGCAAAGGCAGCCUUCUGGAGUGCGAUUGACGCUGAGGCUCGAAAGCGCGGGUAUCAAACAGGAUUAGAUACCCUGGUA
rnacentral:rRNA from 1 species